rnacentral:rRNA from 1 species
UUAGAGUUUAAUCCUGGCUCAGAUUUAACGCUUGUGACAUGCUUUACACAUGCAAGUUGUACGUAAAUAUUUAUUUAUUUAAGUAGCGCACGGGUGAGUAAAACAUUAAAACAUGCCUUAUAAUAAAGGAUACAGUUGUGAAAACAUCUAUAAUACUUUAUAAUAAUAAUCUAAGGAUAAAAGCGGGGAAAACCUCGCGUUAUAAGAUUGAUUAAUGUCUGAUUAGUUAGUUGGUUUUUAAGUUAAAAGCUUACCAAGACUUUGAUCAGUAGCUAUUCUUUGCGGAUGUAUAGCCACAUUGGGAUUGAGAUAAGGCCCAAACUCUUACGAGAGGCAGCAGUGGGGAAUAUUGGACAAUGAGCGAAAGCUUGAUCCAGCAAUGUCACGUGUGUGAUGAAGGGAAACUGUAAAACACUUUUUUUUAAGAAUAAAAAAUUUUAACUAAUAAUUAAAAUUUUUGAAUGUAUUAAAAGAAUAAGUACCGGCUAAUCACGUGCCAGCAGCCGCGGUAAUACGUGGGGUGCUAGCGUUAAUCGGAAUUAUUGGGCGUAAAGUGUGCUAAGAUGGUUUAAAAAGAUUUAUAUUAAAUCUUUAAUUUGCAUUAAAAAAUGUAUAAAUUACUUUUAAACUAGAGUUAAAUAUGGGAAAAUAGAAUUUUAUGUGUAGCAAUGAAAUGCGUUGAUAUAUAAAGGAAUGCCAAAAGCGAAAGCAUUUUUCUUGUUUAUAACUGACAUUUAUGCACGAAAGCGUGGGUAGCAAACAGGAUUAGAUACCCUGGUAGUCCACGCCCUAAACUAUGUCAAUUAACUGUUAAAAAUUUUUUUUAGUGGUGUAGCUAACGCGUUAAAUUGACCGCCUGGGGACUACGAUCGCAAGAUUAAAACUCAAAGGAAUUGACGGGGACCAGCACAAGCGGUGGAUGAUGUGGAUUAAUUCGAUGAUACGCGAAAAACCUUACCUGCUUUUGACAUGACUAGAAUUUUAUUGAAAUAUAAAAGUGCUUGUAAAAGAAUUAGUACACAGGUGUUGCAUGGCUGUCGUCAGCUCGUGUCGUGAGAUGUUGGGUUAAGUCCCGCAACGAGCGCAACCCCCACUCUUAUUUGCUAAAUUUAGAACUUUAAGAGAACAGCUAAUGAUAAAUUUAGAGGAAGGAGGGGAUGACUUCAAGUCCUCAUGGCCCUUAUGGGCAGGGCUUCACACGUCAUACAAUGGUUAGUACAAAAAGUUGCAAAAUUGUGAAAUUAAGCUAAUCUUUAAAACUAAUCUCAGUUCGGAUUGUACUCUGCAACUCGAGUACAUGAAGUUGGAAUCGCUAGUAAUCGCAAAUCAGCAUGUUGCGGUGAAUACGUUAACUGGUCUUGUACACACCGCCCGUCACACCAUGGAAAUAAAUUUUACUUUAAAUAAAAAUUAAUAUUAUUUUAUAUUUUUAUCACAGUAAUAUUUGUAACUGGGGUGAAGUCGUAACAAGGUAGCCGUACUGGAAGGUGUGGCUGAAUAAC